UUGAAAUUCGAGCUCGAAUUCUAAUCGAGUCGAGCUCGAGCCUCAAAUCUCAGCUCGAUUUGAAAUUCGAGCUCGAGCCGAGCCAACUCGAAUCGAGUUCGAGCCGAGCCAGCUCGAAUCGAGUUCGAGCCAAGCUCGAGCUGGGUCUAGCUCGGCUCGACUCGGCUCGUUUACAGCCCUAAAGAUAACAUAUUUUCAACUCAUCCAAAAAAGGAAGACUUAAACAAGACAUAACAAAGUAAACGACAGAAAAAACUAAAAAUACCAAUUGUGAAAAAAACAAAAAAGGAAUUCAAAAAUAGUUUGGCUUCCUCGACUAAAACGUAUGGAUAUAAAUUUUGUCUCUACAUCUCUCGCUUUUCCUUACCAACAACCAAUCACAGAAUGAUAACUUACUUUUCCCAAUACAUCUUUAAGACUAUCUCCAAUGCUAAGGGAGCCCUUAGACGUCCUUAGCUGCCACAUCAUAUCCUUACAAAUCUUUAAAUACUUCAAUUUCAUCUCCAACCAUACAAAUAUUCUUACAUAUCCUUACAUUUUCCACAUCAUUACCUAUUUUUUCUUUUAAAUUAAUUAAAGCUGGUAAACAAUCAAUUGGUUAAUGCCACUAAAAUAAAUAAAAAAAAUUGAAAAUAUAUAGGGAAACCGGCUUGGGCUUUUUAUGAUUGGGUUAUAAUGAAUUAAUCAUCAUUAUAUAUAUAGGGGAAGAUUCAAAUGAAAACCACUUUUAUUGUGAAAACUCGAAAACUAACUAAAAAAAGCCUAAAAAACACACUUUUUUUUUAAUUUUUUUAUAAAAAUCGCAGGUUUUUUUAUAUAAAAAAUAAAAUUUUUCAAAAAAAAAAAAUUUGUAGUACACAUGUGUAAUACACAUACACAUGUGUAUGGUUUUCAUUUGA
rnacentral:lncRNA from 1 species